rnacentral:rRNA from 1 species
UACGGGGGGGGCAAGCGUUGUUCGGAAUUACUGGGCGUAACGGGUUCGUAGGUGGCUUGUUAAGUCAGACGUGAAAUCCCUCGGCUCAACCGGGGAACUGCGUCUGAGACUGAUGAGCUCGAGUGCAGGAGAGGAACGCGGAAUUCCAGGUGUAGCGGUGAAAUGCGUAGAUAUCUGGAGGAACACCGGUGGCGAAGGCGGGUCUCUGGGCCGAUACUGACGCUGAGGAGCGAAAGCGUGGGGAGCAAACAGG